UUAGUUGUGUGGAACGUGCGCGGCUUAAACAAUCCGGCAAAGCGCAAUGCAAUAAAUAACGCCAUUUCGAGCUCGGGCGCGAGUGUGGUUUGUCUCCAGGAGACCAAAAUACAGGACAUGGACACGUCGCUUGUACGGCACUGCCUCGGGCCGACCUUUGACCAGUUCUUCUGCGCGCCGGCUGUCGGGACCCAUGGCGGUAUCUGA
rnacentral:rRNA from 1 species